AUUGAACGCUGGCGGCGUGCCUAACACAUGCAAGUCGAGCGGUAACAGGUGUAGCAAUACAUGCUGACGUGCGGCGAACGGGUGAGUAAUGCUUCGGAAUCUACCCAAUGGUGGGAAUAACCAGCCGAAAGGUUGGCUAAUACCGCAUACGUCCCACGGGAGAAAGCAGGGGAUCGCAAGACCUUGCGCCAAUGGAUGAGCCGAAGUCGGAUUAGCUAGUUGGAGGUAACGGCCUACCAAGGCGACGAUCCGUAGCUGGUCUGAGAGGACGACCAGCCACACUGGGACUGAGACACGGCCCAGACUCCUACGGGAGCAGCAGGUGGGGAAUAUUGGACAAGUGGGGGAAACCCUGAUCCAGCGACGCCGCGUGUGU
rnacentral:rRNA from 1 species